rnacentral:rRNA from 1 species
CUACGGGAUGCAGCAGUCGAGAAUCUUUCGCAAUGGGCGAAAGCCUGACGAAGCGACGCCGUGUGAGCGAAGAAGGCCUUCGGGUUGUAAAGCUAUUUCGCUUGGGAACAAGAAAGGCGGAUGAAUAAUCCGCCAAUUUGAGGGUACCAGGUAAAGAAGCACCGGCUAACUCCGUGCCAGCAGCUGCGGUAAUACGGAGGGUGCAAGCAUUAAUCGGAAUUAUUGGGUGUAAAGGGCGCGUAGGCGGAUCGUUAAGUCAAACGUGAAAUUCUGAAGCUCACCUUCAGAGCUGCGUUUGAACUGGUGGUCUAGAGGAUUGGAGGAGAAAACGGAAUUCCACAUGUAGCGGUGAAAUGCGUGGAUAUGUGGAAGAACACCGGUGGCGAAAGCGGUUUUCUAGUUUAUUCCUGACGCUGAGGCGCGAAAGCGAGGGGAGCAAACAGGAUUAGAUACCCUGGUAGUC